AUAGGUCAUUUAUAAUACGAACACGUAAAAUUUAUCAUGGGCUCAUUUUCAUGAACCGAUUUGUUUAGCUUUCAAGCUCAUAUACGUAGAUAGAUUGACUGGGGGAAAAAAGAUCAGUUGGAUUUUGUAAUCAUAGCCACAUGUUUUCAUGAAAAUCUAUUAAAAAAUUCGAUAACAAGUAUAAGUUUGAAGUUGGACUCUCUUAUUUUGUAAAACAAGUUUAAUGAAAUCAAGUGACUGCUUAAUAAUUAAUUAUUAAGUUAAUUUAAUUUUUUUUAAUAAAUGAUCUACGUUCAUAGAUUUAAAGAAUUAUUAAACGGAAGUCAGCUUGUGAUGAGUCCAACGAAAUGAAAUAGGAUGUUGUAGUUCAAAGACAAGUCAUUUUCUUUUCGUUUAUAUUUGUUUUUUAAUUUUAGGCUGUAAUUACAAAGGAAAAAGGAAAGGAAAAAAGGUAAUGAAUCUAACAGAUUAAAUUUAAUUUGUUAGAUACCUUCUAGUGUGUUGAAUAAUUAAUUAUCUAUUAGCUCAAACUCAUCUCUGUUUUAAAUUCCAAAGAUGUAUAACUACUUAAACUAAGCUCAAGCUUAAUAUCAAACAUAGAAUUAAUAACACAUAUUAUAAAAGCAAAAAAACUAAGUGAGUGAACUUAAAAAUUAGCCAUGCAUAAUAUAUAAUUUAUCCCACAUGUGAAAAUAUUAGACUUAUCUCACAUCGCUUAUCUCAUCCAACAAACUUAAUUUUAAAUUAGACUCCUCAACCCUUUUCUCUAACAUGAUAUCCAAAAUAUAUACUUUGAGUGAUUCUCUCAGUAGUGAUCAUGUCUCUACUUAAGUCUCUAUCUCUCUUCUCAUCAACUCCAAGUUCAUCCUCUUAAUCUACUGCCUACCUUACCUUGUGCUAUGUGGCCAUUGCUUCUUAGCACAAGUAAUAAUUAAAAAAGUAUCUUAUUUUCAUAGACCAGAUAUGUGUGUUGAUGAUAUUAUCUAAGGUGUUUCAAAAAUUCGAAAUAUGGUUAAAUAAAACCCUAGAAUGUGGUUUGGUUCUAUAGUUUAGAUGGUUCAAUUCUCAUUUUAGAAAUAGAAAAUUGAGGAUGUUUGGCUUUGGUAUUUACUCUCUGCUUUAUAUAUUGAAUCUCCAUUAUUCUAUUUUGAGAUGUUUAAGAAUCCAUUUAUCUUUUUUUUCAUAUAUUAUUUAAGUAACAUUCAACCAAAUAAAAAAUUAAAUGUAAUAAUUACUAUGUUAAAAUUAAAAAUUCAGUAAAAAGUAAAUGUUAUGAUUGUGUUUCCUUAAAAAUUAAAUUGAAUUCUCCGAAAAAGACCUUCAAUAUAGGACUAAGUGAAUAUAUAUUAAAACUUGAAUGCUUCGUUACGUUUAUGCUAUGGAAUGUUUAUAUUAUCACCCUCUCGAUAACCAUAGUAAUAUUCUUAUCUCACAUUAUUCUAACGAUGAACACAAAAUAAUAGAGACAAGUUUAGAGACGAUGUAUAGAAUUAAAAGGGUGAGAAAAUUUGCAAUAUUUAGUUAAUUUUUUUAAAUUCAAUUUUACAAAGUUAUUUUUCAAAAUUUAUUUGAUUGACUAUUGAAAACACGCUCUCUAUAAUUUUUUUCAAGAAAAAACUCAAUUUUUAGCAUAAAUUAAAAUAUACCAUAUUUAAACUGUCAAAAACCAUUCCCACUGGAGGAUAAAUAAUAUAUGUUAUCUAACACGUUUUCUCUGUAAUGUUGUCAACAAUAAUAUACGAAAAGACAAAGUAUAUUUAAGAGCCCCCACUAUGCUUGUGUUUCUCUCUCGUCGCAAUAAUUACUUAUUAAAGUACGAGAAAAGACAAAGUACACGUGAGAUAGGAAAACGACUACUCUAACAAUUUAGGUCUCAUUUGGCUGGAGGAUUUGGAGGGGUAUAAUUUUUUUCCCGGAUAACUUUUUUCUCGGAAUGUUUGGCUAGCGGAUAUGCCCCCGGAUAAGUUAUGCCCCCGAAGGUAGAUAAUUUUUGGGUUGCCUAGACCCCUAACUAAAAAUUAUCCGGGGGAUAAGGGAUACCGCCCCCCUCUCUCCCCCGCCCCCCCCUGUCUCCUUUCUCGUCUCCUCUAUCUACAUCUCUCAGCCCUGCCCACUCUUUUUCCUCUAUCCCUCUUUUCUCUUUUCUUUUCUCUCAUUCCUUUUCUUCCUUCCUCCUAACCUACCUUAUCCACUCAUUCUAAAAAAGUAUCCAAAACAAAAGUUAAAAGUUAUCCCAUCCAAAGUUAUCACCUCUAAAAAGUUUCCUCCCCUAAAAAUUAUGCUGCCUCCCUUAUCCUCAGCCAAACGGGCCCUUGGGGUAAGGUAAAUGUUACGUAGUACGUACCCCCACCAAUUGAAAUAACACCGACACCCAUAGUUAUGAAAACGGACGAACCGGCAGGUUCAACCGGUUCAAUCGAAACUGGGCACUAAAUCGGUUCGGACACAACAUUUUAUCGCAUCGGAAAAAUGCAAGCCAACCGGAUUGAACCGGUUUGAAUCGGCCGAUUUUUUUUUUUUAACAGAAAAAAUAAAGUUUUAAUUUUUACAGUUUGACCCAAAAAUUUUAAUUAAAGUUUUACUUUUUACAAUGACCCCAAAAUUUGAAUUAAAUUAUUUUUUUAAUCGUUUUCUAAAUUAAUUUUUACUAUGAAUGGGUAAUAAAAAAAUUUUUUUUUUUUUUAUAAUAAAAAUAUAAUUUUAUUAUAUUAAUUAUAAAUCCGGUUGAACCGUGGUUGUUUGAACCCAAGGGAACCGUGUGAACCAGUAUUUUGACCGGUUCAAUGUCCGGUUCGGUUCUGAUAACUAUGCCGCGACACCCCUUAAUAUCUGAAAAGGGUAAUGCUAUGAGUACAUUCAAUUUACACCCUAAAUGCAUAUUUGAUGAGGUGGAGUAUUUAAAUUGGUUGGGUGUGGGGUCCACACAGUCCUUUCACCCCACACAUAGCCAAUCUAAAUACUUCAUCUCAUCAGGGGUGCAAGUUGGAUGUACCAUAGCAUUUCUCAUAUCUGAAAACGGUAAAUUUUGACUGACCUCGCAUGAUAUUUUUGAAUCAAAAUCCAACACGUGUACAUUAGUCCAAUUCCUAUUUAAUGGGCUAUUGGGGCCAUAGCCCCUGCAUGUUUCCUCUCGCUGCAUCCACAUGGAGACUGAUCUAAUGUCCCUUUCUUAUCUGUCCUUUCUUUCUUUUUUCAUUAAUUCAAAAGAGGUGAUCAGAUGUGGCGCACCCAUUGUAAUACCAUGGGAGCGUCCCUGAGGGCUCACUACAAUCACAUAAUUUUUUUCAAAUUAUGUCUUAUUUAUUUUUGAAAUCACUCAGCCACAAAAUAUGUGGCUGUGGUGAGGCCACGGAGGGCGCUCCCAUGAUAUUAUCACGGACACGCACCUAUCUGAUCACCACUCUUAAUUUAAUGCGAUGCUCGGAAAAGGUACAAUGGAGUCUUACACGAAUCUCGUAAGUGUUUGCAAUAGUUUAUCUCCUUUAAUUCAUAAACCAUAUAUAAUACUUUAUAUACCGAAGGCAUUAUGAAAUCUAAAAUAUUCCUAAAAUUAUAAUUUAGGUUCGAGUCAAAAAAUUCACAACUACGACCUACAAGCUGAUGAGAUACCAACAUACAUACACCACAAUCAUAUGGUCCUCACUGAUCUCUCUUCUCGACGCCUACACAUGCAUUAUAUGCGCAUAAAAUAUUUGAAGUGUUAAACUAAUCCCAUAUCAAAUAGUUUUGGGAAUACUCCACCUCAUGCUAAUGAUCUUUACUUUACAAUAACAAUUUGUACUACUACAAACAAUUCGCCUUGCUAGAUGCAUUAAAUUGAACUUUCAAGUUCCAAAUUUCUAUUUUGGGAAUUAAAAAGCUUUUUUAAUUGUGCUAUCUGAAAUGACCUUUGGUUUUAACACAUGUAAUAAUUAAAAAAUAUCUUAGCUUUAUCGCCAAAUAUGUGUGUUGAUGAUAUUAUCUAGGGGUGUCUGAAAAUUUAAAAAAAAAACGAUAAAUCAGAUCAAACCAAAUUGGAUCGAACCGUAUGGCUGGUGUGGUCCGGUUCUACGAUUUAGAUUGUUUCAAUACUAAUUUUAAAAAAUAUUAAAUUGGUCUAUAUAGUUCAGUCUUAGUUCUUUAUUUCAGAAUUGUGGUUCAAAAUAAACUGGGCCUGUUUUGUUAAGAACAGAGUUCUGUAACUGGAAUUGAUAUUGCUGAUAGCUGGAAGAAGAAAGAAGAAAAUAGAUUUCCCUAUUCGAGCUAGGGAUAAAGCUCUUAAAAGAACCAAGUAAAGACGGAAUUUUUCAUUCCCUUCUGAAUCAAUGUUACAUUCUUUAUAUUGCUGGACGUUUGACAAGAAUUCAAGGAAUGAUAUCUAACAGUUUUAAACACUAACUGAAUUAACCCAUUCUUGAUAUUGCCCAUGCUUCAGUUAUCUGUUAGCAUAGUUAUUUUGCCAUGCUUUACAUCAUGUUCCUGUCUUUUAAGUCUUAAUCUUUCAUUCAUUCUGGCCUUUUGAUACUCCUUCUUGUUCUAUCAUCCGCUACAAAGCUGUUCUCUCCUACUACCACUGCAUUCGUAACAUGUUUACGUACAUACAUAGCGUGUAUGUGUAAGUUAAACCCAUCCUAACCUUCCUAAUUUAUUUUAUAUUGAGGUAUCAUUACUUAUUGUUUGAUGUUGUAUGAAUUUUUUGGGUUUUCGAUUUUUGCGGUUGUUAUGCUUAGUUUUUUCUAAAGUGGAAUGUUGUCAUGUUAUUUUAAAAUGUAGAUAGUUUAGAAUUUAAAUGUCAGGUAUAAAAUUUAGGAUGUUUGCCUGUGGCAUUUAUUCCAUUCGUCUCAUAGAACUUUUGUUAUUUUAGUUUGGAAUGUCCGAAAAUGUAUAUUCAAUUCGACAGUUAAUAACGAAAAUAUACAACUUUUCUCUUUUAGCCUUUUUUUUAUAAAUUAUUUAAGUAAUAUCAACCAAAACAAAAAAUUAAAUGUAAUAAUUACAGGGAUAAAAUUGGAGAGUCAAUA
rnacentral:lncRNA from 1 species